GUGUUCUCUCUCUCUCAGACGGGAGACUCAAAGCACUUCCUCCCUUCUCUUCAGGGCUCAGGUCAAUCUACACACUGUAGACAUAAUAUAUUCUCCAGGGAGUUAAGUUCUUUCAUUUGUUGAAUUUCCUUGAGAAAGAUGUCUGGGAGGAACCGUGGACCUCCGCUUCCGAUGAAAGGUGCUCCUCAUGCUGGAGUGCCACCCAUUUACGAGCCUCCAUUUGUAAGGAAUCUAGGUCCAAUGCCCCAUCAUGCGUUGCUAGAAGAGAUGAGGGAAGCUCAGUUCGGGAUGGGUCCCAGACAACUCCCUCCUCACCCUGCUAUUAUUGAGGAGCGGUUUGCAGCUCAACAUCAGGACAUUCAGGGGCUUUUGGUUGAUAAUCAGCGUCUAGCUGCAACUCAUGUUGCACUUAAGCAGGAACUGGAAGCUGCACAACACGAGCUUCAACAAACAGAUCGCUUUGCUCGCAACUUUCUUAUGGAGAAGGAUAUGCAGAUGAGGGAGUUGUAUGAGAAAUCAGCCAAAAUGGAACAUGAUCUUCAUGGAGUGGAAAGCAUGCGGGCUGAGCUUAUGCAAUUUCAUGCUGAUAUUAAGGAAUUGACUGCCACACGUCAGAAGCUUACCGCUCAGGUUCAGGCGAUGACCCAGGAUCUUGCCAGAGCUAAUGCUGACUUGCAGCAAGUUCCUGCACUCAAGUCAGAAAUUGAAGGGCUUAGACAGGAAUUGCAACAUGCGAGGGCUGCAAUUGAGCAUGAGAAGAAGGGGCAUGCAGAGAACUAUGAGCAUGGUCAAGUGAUGGAGAAGAAUUUACUCUCUAUGGCCCGUGAGCUGGAAAAGCUGCGUGCCGAGAUGGCUAAUGCUGAAAAAAGGGCUCGUGCUGCUGCAGCGGUAGGGAAUCCAAAUCCAGGCUACAACACAAAUUAUGGCAAUGCUGAAGCUAACUAUGCAGGGAAUUCUUACCCUGCAAGUUAUGGCAUGAGUUCUAUGAAUCAAAUGAAUCCUGUGCAGCCUGGUGCAGAAGGUUAUCCUCAGUAUGGACCUGGACCUGGUUCUUGGGGAUCGUACGAUAUGCAACGGACUCAAGGACACAGAUGAACUAUUCAUGCUAGGCUGUGGUCUCUUAGAUUGCUUAUCGGAGCGAUGGUACUUUAAAUUGAAGUCUAGGUAUUCAAUUUUGGCUGUGGCAAAACAAGACUCUCCUGGAUUGGCCUCGACAAAGGGAACCUUGAAAGACACAUUAUAAACUGUGAUUAAAGUAGGAGGUGCUUCGGAAUCAGUUUUGGAGGAAGACAAUUUUGCAAUCUCAUGGUUCAAGUGUUUUAAGGUACCAGCACAGGAGUCAAAUCUUUAGAGGAAGAGUGGAAUAUUUUGCCAAAAAGGGUAUAUGACGUCAUCCUAUGGAGUGUGUGGGUCCCUCAGGUAUUCGUAUAAGGAGUAGACCAACCGUUGAUCUUUUUACGAAAACUGCGAGAAGCUGCAGAAUGAUGCUCCUCUCAUUGUAACCGGGGCUUCCACAUGUUCACAUCUCUUGCAAUCCUUAUACGAAUUUGGUCUACUCCCAAACUCUCGAGACGUUCACCUGAGCAUUGGACUUGUUUUUAAGACAAUAUGUGUUUAAAAAACAAAUGUUGCAACUAAUUUCACUGUAAAAGAAUACUUCUAUGUGUAAUUUAUAGUUUGAGCUCGAAUGUUGAAUAUGAAAAGAAUAGAAGCAAUAUAUUUU